AGCAUCAGAGCUUGGAGAAGCCUAAUUACCGUGACUAAUGGAAUUUGCCUGUAGUCAUGACUCGUGACCGCUGGUGUGGCGGUAAUACGGUCACCAUAACAGCCCUAGUUGGAGUUCCUUGGUCCCCAGUGGUGAUGCAUGAGAUGCAGAGACCUGACACUCAACACAUCCACUAAACACAUCCAUAUUGAGAUGGACUAGAGAUGCUUCUUCCAGACGGCAGCCGUAGUCAUUUGAUGGGGAGACCAUAAUUGGAAACAUGUAUGGAGCCAGCACAUGGAGACUUGCAAGAUGAUGUGCUGAAGUCCAGACUGACAAACGGGCUUGAUACUGAUGUCUCUGAAUGGAGAGAGACCUGGCACUCAGCGUCAACAUUUUACUAGACACAACUUUUACUUGUAUUGUCUUUUUGUUAUAGUAUCAGUCAUUAUGGGGAAGGAGAAACCCUGUGUAUUCUGCACCAGGAUCAGGGAACUCCUGUUGUAUACGGGACACCACACAGGAAGAAGGACAUUUUACAACUCAAACUAUGGAUUUUACCCAAGAGGCUACAAGAUGUUCCUAUUCCCAUGAAGAGGGCCAAAGGAUUAUUACCACUACCUCAUUGCUAGAUGAGAUGACAGCCGCAGAGAAUACUGGAAUGGACUUAAACAAGGCUUACAGAGACUUGCAACACCUCAUGGUGAAAGAUACCAAACUUGACCUCAAUUCUAUCACCUUGUCUGACUAUUGGAGGAAAGGCCUAAUCCCCAAAGGACUCCGUAUUAUGAAGUUUCCAGCUAAUGGAGCACAAGGUAAAACUGAAUUUAGAGAUACAUGGGAGGCUAUUCUCAACAAGUGUUUUUUUGACCUAAUGCUACUUCUAAUAGAAGAAUCUAAAAAGGACAGACAAGUAGUCCAAACAGAAAUUGAAGAAGUAAAAAGGAAAAUCACAGAACAGUGACAAUUCUAACAAAGCACAAUGUGAUGAGAUCUUGAAAGAGAAAGUAGACACAUUCACUCUGAUAUUGAAACAAAACAAGCUAAGAAAAUUUAGAAGAGAUUAAGUAGACUAUAGAGAUGGCAAGGUCUUUGCCUGGAGAAAACCAACAUGCAAGAAUUCAGAAUCACAUCUGCAGAGAAGGAAGCCUAGAUCUGUUUCUUUCAACUUUACAAGCAGUGACGAUGAGGAUCACCCCAGACGCUCAGAGGCCAGCUCCUCCCAAGAUUUUUUAGAUCAGGAAGAGGAGUCACACAGGUUCCUCAACAAGAGAGGGAGAGGACGCGGAAGAGGCCAACACGGAGGGGGAGGAAGAAAUCAAGACUAUCCAACCACACGGAGCAGGACCAGAACAAGGCUGUGAUCAACAUUUCUGGAGAACCCCUAUCUGAGGAUUACAUAAGGGUCUUGUCUAAAGGACUGUCCUUUGCUCCCACAUAUUCAACUAAUGCAUUUAAUACAAAGACUGACCUAUUUCGUUUCUACAGGAAUCUACAUCUGAAGGCCUGGUACAAGUAAAACAUCUCUCCAACUACAGACGCCAGUGUCUCCGGUCAGGCCGUUUCUGUUCCCUCAAAAACACCUUUUAAGCCCAAGUCCACCUUUUUGUCCCAUCGUCCAGAAUGCCACACUAAAUACAUUUGCCAAGAAAGUGAAUUUUGAUGUGGAGAAUCUGUUUAAGGGUAAAAUUGACUCCAACCAAACACGACGUAAUCUUUCUAAGACAGAGAGGGAUGCAGUUGAAUCAUUGUCCAAAAAUGGACGGAUUGUGGUUAAAAAAGCAGACAAAGGUGGUGCUACAGUAGUGUGGAGUAAAGACAAAUAUGUGACAGAAGCCUACCGUCAAUUAGACAAUGAUAAAUUCUACCAAUCUCUUACCUUCAACCCUACAGAGGACCUAAAAACUGAAUUAAAAGGGAUCCUCACAGAAGCUAAGGAGAAUGGCUACUGUAACGGUAGUCCUCCUCCUCUUCAACCGAAAAGGAGGAGUAGUGAUUUGACCAAGGCGCAGCGGGUUGUGAAUACAUAAUUUUAAUUAACAAGACGUAAAAAACACGAAACGAAAUACACUUGAAUGAAAAAAAAUAACAAAACGGAAUAGACAGACCUGGACAUGGAACUUACAUAAAACACGAAGAACGCACGAACAGGGAAAAUAGACUACACAAAAUGACGAUGUACAAAAACAAACCGAACAGUCUCGUAUGGUGCGACAAACACUGACACAGGAGACAACCACCCACAACGAACACUGUGAAACAACCUACCUAAAUAUGACUCUCAAUUAGAGGAACGCCAAACACCUGCCUCUAAUUAAGAGCCAUACCAGGCAACCCUAAACCAACAUAGAAACAGAAAACAUAGAAUGCCCACCCAAACUCACGUCCUGACCAACUAACACAUACAACAAACUAACAGAAAUAGGUCAGGAACGUGACAUAACCCCCCCCCCCUUAAGGUGCGAACUCCGGGCGCACCAGCACAAAGUCUAGGGGAGGGUCUGGGUGGGCAUCUGACCACGGUGGUGGCUCAGGCUCAGGGCGAGGUCCCCACCCCACCAUAGUCAAUCCCAGCUUACAUCUCCCCCUACAAAUGACUACCCUCAUAUUACACCCACUUAAUCUUUUGGGUAACAUCGAGACAAGGGGCAGCACCGGGAUAGAGGGAUAGCUCAGGACAGAGGGAUAGCUCAGGACAGAGGGAUAGCUCAGGACAGAGGGAUAGCUCAGGACAGAGGGAUAGCUCAGGACAGAGGGAUAGCUCAGGACAGAGGGAUAGCUCAGGAUAGAGAGGUAGCUCAGGAUAGAGAGGUAGCUCAGGAUAGAGGGGCAACUCCGGACUGAAAGGCAGCUCCGGACAGAGAGACAGCUCCGGACAGAGGGGCAGUUCUGGAUAAAUAGCCGCUCUGGGCUGAGGGACAGCUCAUGACUGGCUGACGGCUCUGGAUGCUCAUGGCUGGCUGACGGCUCUGGACGCUCAUGGCUGGCUGACGGCUCUGGACGCUCAUGGCUGGCUGACGGCUCUGGACGCUCAUGGCU